rnacentral:rRNA from 1 species
GACGAACGCUGGCGGCGUGCUUAACACAUGCAAGUCGAACGGACAGGCCCUGCUUUUGUUGGUUGCUCGAGUGGCGAACGGGUGAGUAACACGUGUGUAACCUCCCCCUGACUUUCUGGUAAAUUCACGAGAAUGCGGCUAAUACCCGAUAGAAGAUCCUGCUCCAUGGUGUGGGUUGGAAAGAUUCGGCGGUGGUGGAUCGGUUGGCGGGUUAUCCGCUUGUUGGUGGGGUAGUUGUUUACCAAGUUUUUGAAGGGUAGCCGGCCUGAGAGGGUGACCGGGCACCUUGGGCCUGCGGUAGGCACCAGACUCCUACGGGCGGCAGCAGUGGGGAAUAUUGCACAAUGGGCGGAAGCCUGAUGCAGCAACGCCGCGUGCGGGAUGACGGCCUUCGGGUUGUAAACAGCUUUCGCCUGUGACGAAGCGUGAGUGACGGUAAUGGGUAAAGAAGCACCGGCUAACUACGUG